UGCCUAACUUGUGACAAUGUGUCUGGAGAA
rnacentral:piRNA from 1 species